rnacentral:lncRNA from 1 species
AAAAUGAGGCUGAAACCUAUUGGGCUGCAUUCCCGGAUGGUUAAGGCACUCUAAGUCACAGGAUGAGAUAGAAGCAAGGCAAGUUACUUCUAUAGAAGGGUGCGCCCUUACGGAUGGAGCAAUGCAGGACUACUUGUUGCGAUUUGAGGAGGGAGGUGUCUUACCCCAGAGCCUGGCUGGAGAAGACUGAGGUUCAAGGCUUGAAGCCUAAGUGAUUGCCCCAGGACCUUGGAUGAUGGCCACAGAGAUAUCGAAAGUGACCCUCCGCUGAGCCCCUUAGUCCAGGUGCCUCAAGAGUUUAACAAGAACAAGACAACUCUUCAAUUCCUGUGACUAUCACAACCCCACAUCCUUCAGGAGGAUGAGCACUACUGCAUAAGCUAAGCUUCUCUUUCACCUUUACCUCAUCCAAGUACACCAUGGGUCAAGUGUAGGUAUGGAAUCUUCGAAGUGCCAGGGUUUGUCACCACCUUACUCACCACCACCAGUGGGGUUUUUGUUGCCACCAUACCAUUGAGAAUAUACUUUCUAUAGUCACUUCCAGUACCCGUUACCUUAAUUUGAGUUCUUCCAAAAUCAAACCUUGUGACAAAGCUUUGGAUACAAGAGUCUAUCUUGGAGAGGAUCCCAGGUGGAGCAAGUGAGUGAGUGUGGAAAGUGAGAGAGGUGAAACAGAAAACUGAAUUGAUGAAUGGGUUAUUACUGUGGGCAAUUUGGGCUCUUUCCCAUUUGGGACCUCUGAGGAACCACACAGAAUGCCUUAUAAUAGUCCCACCAAGGUAUGGGAUGGUUGGAUAUUAAUCCACUGAUCCUCAUCCUUCAUGGGUUGAGGGGUGUUCUGUCCCCAGCAAUUCUAGGAUGCCUUGUGAAGGUUGGGCAAGCUUUUGUUGUACUGGAAGAAAUCCUCAGAGAAGCAGAAUGAGGCAGGUGCUUGAGUGGGCAAGCCGUCAGCAUGCUUAGGAUUCCUAAGUUCACUGCAGCUGCAGGUCAGGUCAGCUCAGUUCAGGGGACAUGGGGAAGGGCAUCAAGACAGUCUGCUACCUAUUCUUCAGUAAUUCAUAUGGAAAAAUCAGGAGGCAGUGCCUGUUAAACAUCGUGGACUGAACACAUGUGUUUAUCACAGCUCCAUCCUGAAGCCUCUCUGAAAUGACUGAAAAGAAAUAAAAAACAAUCUUAUAAAAACUGGAAGGAUAAAGAGAACAGAAGAGGCAACAACAGACAAGAACUAGCAACAAAAUGCUGGAAGAUGGAAGGCAGAUGGGUGAGCGGUAACAAAGUUAGCAGAGCAACAAGAAAGUUUGCUUUGCUGUGAAAAAUAUCAGAAAACAAAAGCAAUAUAGGGCGCUGUAGCAGAAGCUGUCCCUGCUCUACCUAUGUCAUCUGGGAUCCCUCUGCCAUCUCUUUGUAGACCAGCUGGAUUCCAGUGUGCAUUCUUUCACAGAAGCCAGCAUUCUGCUGGAAGGUGCAAGAGAGCCAGAAGCGCCUGAGAAUUUGUGUCCCUUCCCUCCCGGCACAGCCCUUAACCAAUGACUGAUGAGGGUGGGGACAGACAUACUCCAGCUCUUUUGCCGUCUCACUGGGAUGACUUUGAGGUGUGAUCUAUGAUGUUCCCCCAAGCCCUCUGUGGGAAUGAAUCAAAAUUGCCUUCCAAUUGGGACUUGACUUGAUGUUUUACCCUUACGUGGCCUCUUUCUACUCCUACUUUCUCACUUCUCUCUUUUCCCUGGGAAUAUUUCCUAAGAAAUCACUUUCAUGUGCAUUUUCCUCUAGUGCAGCACUGCUUGAAGAUAAUUCUGUUUCAGUGAUGUAGGAGUGUGUGUGUGUGUGCACGUGCACGCACGCGUGCACACGUGCAUGCAUUGGGUUAUCAUUUAACAUGAAUUUCUUAUCGUGAAGCCAGUUUGAAAGCCACUCUUCUAUACCACAUUAAACUGCCUGUUUGUUCAC